UAAAUACUCCCUCCGUUCGAAAAACUUGUUCCUAAGCUUGUCCCUUAAAUGGAUGUAUCUUGCACCAAUGCUAGAUAUAUCCAUUUAAAAGACAAGCUUGGAACAAGCUUUUUCGAACGGAGGAAGUAUUUA
rfam:Triticum aestivum genome assembly, contig: Triticum_aestivum_CS42_TGACv1_scaffold_093775_2AL